GUCCACCAAUUUCCCAAGUCUCAAGCGGCAUGGAAGGGCAUCACCCCCCAUAUCCAAAAACUGCUUGGUCUGGGAGUCCUCAGGCCAUGACAAUCGGCAUGGAACACCCUUUUAUUGCCUGUGAAGAAGCCAAAUUCCAAUGACUACCACCCCAUCCAAGACCUAUGUAUGGGAAGAUUACUGUAGGGUAAUGAACAUACACCCCACCCCCACCAUAGUGCCUAAUCCUUACUCCUUAUUGAGCUAGUUGCCACCAGUUCAGAAAUGGUAUUUCAUUCUAGAGCUACAAGAUGCCUUCUUCAGCCUAAUCUUGGCUCCCAAAAUCCAGGAAUAUUUUGCCUUUGAAUAGUAUGAUACCCAAAGAGGCAUUAAUGGACGUCUGACCUGGAUCCACUAUUUUUGAUGAACCUUUGCAUGACGACUUGGACACUGGACUGCCCCGGUAACCCUCAGAGCUGCUCAGUCCCUGAACUAGUGCUACCACAAUCGAAUCUUUGCCUGGGCUAUGAGAUAUGGAAGUAUAAAUGAUGGGAAGGACCUAUGCUGUAGUGUGGUACUCCAAUACAUACCUUGCAGCAUGGAAUGAGCAUGGUGCCAUUAGUGACCUUCUA
rnacentral:lncRNA from 1 species